CCUACGGGUGGCUGCAGUAAGGAAUAUUGGUCAAUGGACGAAAGUCUGAACCAGCCAUCCCGCGUGCAGGAUGAAAGCCCUAUGGGUUGUAAACUGCUUUUAGCAGAGAAGAAAAGCUUUCAUUAAUGAGAGUCUGACGGUAUCUGCAGAAUAAGCACCGGCUAACUCCGUGCCAGCAGCCGCGGUAAUACGGAGGGUGCGGGCGUUAUCGGGAAUUACUGGGUUUAAGGCGGGCGUAGAAGGAGUAUUUGAAAUCUUGUCGCUUAACGAUAGAAUUGCCAAUGAUACUGGUACUCUUGAUUUGGGUUGAGGGUAGCGGAAUGUGACAUGUAGCGGUGAAAUGCAUAGAUAUGUCAUGGAACACCAAUUGCGAAGGCAGCUAACUGGGCCUUGAUUGACGCUGAGGCACGAAAGCGUGGGUAGCGAACAGGAUUAGAUACCCCAGUAGUC
rnacentral:rRNA from 1 species